rnacentral:rRNA from 1 species
UACGUAGGGAGCAAGCGUUGUCCGGAAUCAUUGGGCGUAAAGCGCGCGUAGGUGGCCCCAUAAGUCCGCUGUGAAAGUCAAAGGCUCAACCUUUGAAAGCCGGUGGAUACUGUGGGACUAGAGUACGGAAGAGGCGAGUGGAAUUCCCGGUGUAGCGGUGAAAUGCGCAGAUAUCGGGAAGAACACCCGUGGCGAAGGCGGCUCUCUGGGACGGUACUGACGCUGAGACGCGAAAGCGUGGGGAGCGAACAGG